rnacentral:rRNA from 1 species
CCUACGGGUGGCAGCAGUGGGGAAUAUUGCACAAUGGGGGGAACCCUGAUGCAGCGACGCCGCGUGGGUGAAGGAGUAUUUCGGUAUGUAAAGCCCUAUCAGCAGGGAAGAACAAUGACGGUACCUGACUAAGAAGCACCGGCUAAAUACGUGCCAGCAGCCGCGGUAAUACGUAUGGUGCAAGCGUUAUCCGGAUUUACUGGGUGUAAAGGGAGCGCAGGCGGCGCGUUAAGCCUGGUGUGAAAGCCCGGGGCCCAACCGGGGGACUGCAUUGGGAACUGGCGCGCUGGGGUGCCGGAGGGGUAGGCGGAAUGCCUAGUGUAGCGGUGAAAGGCGUAGAUAUUAGGAGGAACACCAGUGGCGAAGGCGGCCUACUGGACGGUAACUGACGCUGAGGCACGAAGGCCAGGGGAGCGAAAGGGAUUAGAUACCCGAGUAGUC